AUGGCUUGGUCUCUUGUUAACCUCCUACUGCUCACCUUCUGCUCAGAUUCCCUCUCUCAGCUGGUGCUGACUCAGCCUCCCUCUGUGUCUGCAUCCCCGGGGAGCACAGCCAGACUCACCUGCACCUUGGACAGUGAGCACAGUGGUUAUGAUGCUUAUUGGCACCAGCAGAGCCCAGGAAAGGCCCCUCAAUAUCUCCUGUAUGUCACCAGCAGUGGAAGUGUAGGAAAGGCCGAUGGGCUCCCUGAGCGAUUCUCUGGCUCUGGCUCUGGGGCCAAUAGAUUCCUGUCCAUCAGCAACGUCCAGACUGAGGAUGAAGCCGAUUAUUACUGUCAGGCAUAUUAUAGCAGUGGUGGUGGUUAUGCUCAUACACAGUGA